GGGCCUAUAGCUCAACGGUUAGAGCAACCGGCUCAUAACCGGUCGGUUCCAGGUUCAAAUCCCGGUAGGCCCA
rnacentral:tRNA from 1 species